GUGCUUGCUUUGGCAGCCCAUAUACUAAAACUGGAAUGAUACAGAGUAGCAUGGCCCCUGCACAAGGAUGAGUUGCAAAUUUGUGAAGUGUUCCAUAAAAAA